CACGGCCAUGGACUACUUAGCUACAUCCCAAAAUAACAUCAGACUUUUCGGGAGGGAAAGAGUUGAUGAUGGUUGGAAGAGCGCCUUUACCUUGAAAAGACAGUUAAAUGGCAUCCCUUGCGAGGACAAGAACAAUAUGUAUGUCAGGAGGAAAAGUGCAGUAUUAUCACAAGGAAAGGUAUACUUGGAAUACGGGGGAGGAAUAGAGGGGAAAAGAGAGGCAGAUGAGGUCGAAGAGAGAAGGAGGAAAAGGUGUUUGAGUCGGUUAGCGGGCGGGCGGAAAAAAGGGAGAUUGGAAGAAAGUGUAAGCAGAGUGAGCUGUACGCCGGAUAGAAGACAGGAGGCGAAAUGGAAGUGAAUGAGGGCGAAGUAUCGGAGGUGGUAGGUGCGGUAAAGUCAUCGGAGAUCGAUGUAUGCACCGAUGAUCAGGAUGAAGAAGAAUCUGACAGUAGGUGUGAAGUUUAUGUAGAAAGUGGACUCUUGCCUUUUGGCUGAUCGAUUUGUGGUUUCACGGUGGGUGGAAAAAAAGUGUUGGGUCAUGUGGAAUCGAUGAGGGUAACUGGAAGUGGUCUAGUGAUAAUUGUUUGUGUUUCUGUUGGGCAGAGGAAGAAUGCGCUUGAAGUAAAACGAAUGGAGGUAAGUAAAGUGAAGCGUUUCGUUCAAGAAAAAGGCACCAAUAAAAGGAGAUAUAACUUGGGAUAGAUAUAGACGUUGACCAGUUGAAGGCAAAUAUUCCCGGUGAAUGUGAUGCUCGGCGUUUGAUGCGACGCAGACAGGGUGGGGAAACAGAGUCAGUGUCUGUUCUUUUGAGUUUUGAAGCCGAGUCUUUGCCUGAUAAAGUGAAGAUGGGAUAUAUAAGUUAUCCUGUACGAGCGUAUGUGCCGAAUAUGUUAAGAUGUUACAGGUGUCAAGCUUAUGGGCAUGUGGCAGCAGUGUGUAGGAGGGAGGGUCCAAGGUGUGAGAAAUGUGCAUAAGGGCAUGAGACAAAGGAUUGUGUAGUAUUGGCGGAAUGUGUUAAUUGUAGGGGUGCCCAUGGAGCUGGGGUUCAGAAAUGUCCCGUGCGAGAGAAACAGGUUGAGGUUUCUAGAGUUAAGAGUAGAGCAGAAGUUGUCAUAUGCUGAGGCGGUGGAGAAAGUAGAGGAAGAUGGGAGAAGUGGUGAGAGUAGUAAAGAUAUACCAGUACAGAGGGAUAGGCCAAAAAGUGAAAUAAGUUUCAGUAAGAUUGGAUUUUUAGCAUUUACAGCAAUGGUUAUUAAUUGUACUGUAGGAAUAGAUCAGAAGUCUCAGAAAAUUGAGGUUGUGGUGGCAGCUGUAGAGGCAUUUGGGUGUGCAGGACUUGACAGCAGGAGAGUUACAGGAUGUGGUGAUUUCCCAUCCUUUUAGGGUGAUGGCAUGAGGUAGGAAUAAAUACAUUUAAUUAGUGGAGUAGGGGGGUGUUAAUUUUAUUUUAAAUAAUUUUGAAAUUAGUGAAUAUAGUGUUAGAUGGGUAUUUAGUAAAUGUUUCUACUUUAAGUAAAGUAUAAGGUCUUGUAGGUCUGGCAGUAAUGCAACAAAUUGGAUGCAACCCUCGUUAACCUCAUAGAAGAAGGAGAUGAAAGACCUCCAAUCGUCAACAUGACUGGCUGCGUUUUGCUACAAUCAUUAUUUAGUUUUCCAAGGACCCAUAAAACAGAGGCAGUGGGAGAACCUAUUAAAAUACAGAGAGCUGUCGAAGCCUGUCUGCAGAUGAAGAGGUCCCAGUGAAUGUCCCAAGAGAGUAAGGGUACAUCCCUGUACGCCAUGGAGUAUAUACCGUUUUAAAAGUCACAAUGUAGAAACCUAUUACAACUGGAGCAGACCAACCCUGCUGGGUGUGCAUGCUUCUGUUUUAGCCCAGCACUAAAACACCUUAUUCAAUAUAUCAAGCCUAAUUAGUUAAUAAGCCAGUGUCCUAGUUUGCUCACCCAAUAGAUCAGGGAUAAGUGGCUUGAGGUUGGCCAACACUGGUAUUGUCUUUUUUUUGGUUCACCGGAAAUUGUUUUGGUAAUAAUAGCCUACUUGUUACUAAAAUGUCUAACCUUUACAUAUGCGUUAGCUUACUUAUACACAUUGAACUUGUUGAUUCUUUGAAGUUGCGUUUAAACUUGUUUUAAUUGUUAACUAUUAUUCAAGAUUAACUAGUGUUGAUGUUGAUUAAUCACAGAUCACAUUCCUGCAAUAAAGAGGGGAAUGGAA